rnacentral:lncRNA from 1 species
UGUUGCCCUUGUUUUUUUAAAAGCGCCAUUCCUCUGGAAUCCCUACUAUCACUGCAGCGAGUGAAACUUCAACCAUGUCAGUCAGUAAACAGUGAGUGACAAACAAACGGGGAACAUCUCAAUAGUCCAAAUGACUCUCUCCCUGUCUUCUUAAUCUGCACUAAUGAAUAAUAUCUGGACGAUGUAAAACCUAUCAUCUCUCCCUUCUGUUUUUGAAUCUUUCUACCUCCUGAUUCUGCCUCUACCUUUUCCUCAUCCUGUAACUGGUUCUCUCCUCUUCCUCCAGACAAAAUCCUGCGUCUAGUGACGUUCAUUUGCCAACAAACUGCCCACUCGACUUGACUCGACGCCAACCCCUCCUCCCUCCUAUGUCUGACCACUGGCUGCUUUCUCUCCAACUUUGACUACCAGUCGUACCCCCCCCUCAAAAAAAUGAACACUUCUCCGACAGAACCGUCCACUGACCAUGGAUUUACCCUUCAACAUGGUAAAAGAGAAGCAAAACGGGGACAGACAGGUCGGAUCUAGGGGUUCUGGGACGCAUACCGUAUCCCUUCCCCAGACCUUGAUCCACCUGAUGUCCUCCAUGAUCAACCACCCUCCAAGAUCCCACUUUUCAUGACAUUAUCUACAGCUACUGUUAAUGUCAUGUGGUUUGAUAGAAUCUGCUUAGGGACCUGUGCAUGACAUAUCAUCCUAGGCACAGUGAGAUAAGCUACAGGGAAAGUGACCAGCAGAACCACUUGUAGCAUCCACAGCUUCUCUAUCCCACACAUCAGAAUUGAGAUAAAGGAUUUAAAAAAUCACUUUACUUAUAUGUACUUGUAAUUCAUACUUCUGUUUUCUCAACUAAAUUUUAUUGUUUGUGUUGAUGUUUGCCUAUACUCAUGUAUUUCAGUCUAUAACUGCCAUGUGGGUAUAUUAAAUAAAAUCAAGUUCAUUACACACCUGUACCACUAUUAUUAUUAUUAUUUUUUAAAUAAUUCAAUCUUCAAUAUUGCCCCUUUUUUC